rnacentral:lncRNA from 1 species
CAUCCAAAACCCUAACCCUAACCGCCAAAACCACCUCAAUCAAAUCCGCCGCCCCAUCCUCCUCCGAUCUCUCCACCACCACCGUGACCACCACCACCACCACCUCCAUCUCCACCACCCCCCAAACCCUCAAGUCCCGCCUCCAAAACGGCGACACUCUCUACGGCAUCUUCCUCCUCAGCUUCUCCCCCACCCUCGCCGAGAUCGCCGGCCUCUCCGGCUACGACUUCGUCGUCGUC